UACGCAGACGGUGAGAAAGGUCGGAUGUGAAAGCCCCGGGCUCAACCCGGGAACUGCAUCCGAAACCAUCUCGCUCGAGUGUGAGAGAGGGAAGCGGAAUUCCUGGUGUAGAGGUGAAAUUCGUAGAUAUCAGGAGGAACACCGGCGGCGAAGGCGGCUUCCUGGCUCAUUACUGACGUUCAGGUACGAAAGCGUGGGUAGCAAACA
rnacentral:rRNA from 1 species